rnacentral:rRNA from 1 species
UACGGGGGGGGCAAGCGUUGUUCGGAAUUACUGGGCGUAAAGGGCUCGUAGGCGGCCAACUAAGUCAGACGUGAAAUCCCUCGGCUUAACUGGGGAACUGCGUCUGAGACUGGAUGGCUUGAGUGCAGGAGAGGAACGCGGAAUUCCAGGUGUAGCGGUGAAAUGCGUAGAUAUCUGGAGGAACACCGGUGGCGAAGGCGGCGUUCUGGACUGCUACUGACACUGAGGAACGAAAGCCAGGGGAGCAAACGGG